UACGGGGGGUGCGAGCGUUGUCCGGAAUCACUGGGCGUAAAGGGCGCGUAGGUGGUCUUAUAAGGGUGUGGUGAAAGCCCGGGGCUCAACCCCGGGUCGGCCGUGCCGACUGUAAGACUAGAGUGCUGUAGGGGCAGGCGGAAUUCCGGGUGUAGCGGUGAAAUGCGUAGAUAUCGGGAAGAACACCUGUGGCGAAGGCGGCUUCCUGGCCCGCAACUGACGCUGAGGCGCGAAAGCUAGGGGAGCAAACAGG
rnacentral:rRNA from 1 species